rnacentral:lncRNA from 1 species
ACCCGCAGAUGCCUCCGCGUCCUCCAACCGCGCGCACGUUCCACCCUCGGUGAGUCGCGCCGCGUCGCCUUGUGCUCGUGCUCGUGCUCGCGCUGUGCGUCUUGGCGCGCCACCCGCCGACGAGCGGCUCUUGACAUAGUUGCAUCUCGCCGAGUGCACACGGGUCCACUUCCGCCCGACCCGACGUCUCCACGACCGAGUGUGUAUCGCGGGAAACAGGGCGCCUGUUUUUGCCGGGAAAUUGCGUAAACAGGGGAAAAUCAUACACAAACAUAGAAGGAAGCGUGCGGUGCUUCAUGGAACGGUCUGUCUCUUUGACCAUCCGAUGUUGGUCCAGCGUCGCGCCUAGUGACUGGAUGUGAGCUCUACCAUUCGAUCGGACUCCGAGUAUGUGUUGAACACCCGAGUGCGUGCGGGGACUAUGAGGUGGACAUUCGGCGUGGUUCGAUGACAGAAUGUCGGACAAAGGGGGGCCACGGAGCCGCUGGUCCCUGUACGACAUCUUCAAAGGCGGCAGCGAGAUCCCUUCGAGCGAGUUCCUGCUCCAAGAGGAGCCCUACCGGACCCCGCCCAUCGUCCGGGUCAACUUCUCGCCGGGGAUAGAGAGGCCGCCAGGGUCCUCGCGCCGCGCCUCCAGGGUCGUCCAGCAGCUGAGGAGGACCUCCCGAAGCAUGAGCGCCUGGAGCGACAUCAGCCGGUCCAGCUGGAAGCUUGAUGACAGGUGAGUACAGAAUAUGGUACGCGCCACUCAAACCCUUUUCAGUGGCGAUUCAUGUGUGAGUUAUGUACAAUUUAAUUUAAUUGUCGUAAACAUGUAUAUCAACGUGUGAUCUCAUUUAUGGACUGUUCUCCCGGAACUUGAUUG